rnacentral:lncRNA from 1 species
UGGAAGGAGCUAGGCAAAAGGUGUUGCAAUUCCUUUGUUGAAGGACUUAUCUUCUGCAGUGCAAGAACUGAGUGCUACAGAGACCCUAGAUAAGUUCAAUCCUCUUGUCUAAAUACAGGCUAAAAGCAGGGACAGCUUGCUUUAUUGAGCAGAGAACACCAAAAUGUAAUUUUUAAUCAAAGUUUACAGUGUUAAAAAUGUACAUUUGCGGUUAGGAUUCUUCCGAAAGCCUGGGAAAUCUUUGCAUCCUCUAGUGAGAAGGGGAAGCAUCACUCCUGUCCCGAAAAGCAUAAGCUUAUGGAAGUAAUUAGUCCUUGGGAGUCUUGGUUGCACUCAGCCUUCUGCUCUUAGCCACCACUGCUUCCAGGUUUGACAUAAAGUGCAAACUUUCUUUUAAGUGCUUCUUUUAUUGUGUUGUUGAUAUGCACUCAUUUGGUAUUGUUACUUUAAAGCACCUCAAACAUUUUACAUUUUGUUGCCAUCUAUACAUUUCCUGUGAAGCAGCUUUGCUCUGAACCUGUCACACCUACAUCUGUUUUGACUAACUCACACAAUCUACACAGUUUUUCAUUCAAAGCUCUUCCCCUACCUACCCCCAUUUUUUCUAUUCAAUGCCUGAAAAAACAAAACAAAACAAAAACAAAAAGCAAACAAAAAAGCAUAGGUUUUAUAAAUGCAUAGAUUCUGAUUUAAAAAGAAUAAAAACAAACUAAGCAAAAGGAGAAAAAAGGUGAUAUUCUAAAAGCCAGGCUUCUUUUAUCAUCAGUACAGAUUCUUUUUCAUCAUAGUGAAUUUACAUUUCAGGAAAGUGUUAAUAAUUUAGAUUUAAAUACCAGGGUAGAAAUCAGGACAAAAUUUAAAUGGCAGAUCUAGGACUUUUCAGAUAUUCUGGUAGAAGAUUUUGGAUAAAGUUGUGCUACUUUUCCUUUUUUUUUUUUAGUAUUUAAUGUCAAAAUAUUACAUUGCAAAUAAACCUUACAGAUUGUGAAGAAAUUUGCUUGGCAGAAAAAUGACUUUGCAUAAUGUCUAAACCUUAAAGUAGCUGCUAAGAUGUUUGUUACAUCUGAAAUGUUGCCAAAUCCAUUUGUAUUGAAGAAGGAACUCUGAGGUAGUCUCAGAGAAAAUUAAAGCACAGUGAAACAAACAUACAGUUACAGGAGUUGGACAAGCCCACAUAAUACAUUGCAGAAUGGAAGGGGCAAAACUGAACUGGUCAAGAAAGUUAUAGUGAUAAUGGUCACGGAAUUCUGUGCCUUCAGAGAGAGUGAUGACCAGUGAAGCAGGGAUAUGCAGCAUCUAGGCACAGUUCGGUUACAAUAAGCCGACUUUUUCCCCAAACAACUCGUGUCUUGGAAAUUUGAAGUGAAUAAAAAUAUAUUAGUAUUUGAGAAUAUACUGUUCCUUCACCUCCUCCCACAUGUUAAUUAAAGAUGCCUUGCAAAAUCUUAUGACAACUUAACAUUCACUAAUCUAGAGCAGUGUUCUUCAAUCUUUGGAGUCCUGUACAAUAUUAGUAAGAUAUUUUGGUACAUGGACAGUAUAUUAUCAAUACAUAAGCAUAAAUGUAAAUAUUACAAAGAUUAAUGAUUUAUAAACAUAAUAUGCUACCCUCACUCUGAUAUACUAUGGUAUAGUGGUAAAGCUUAUUUUAUUUUCUGAAUGAGCAUGAAUAUAAAUAAAAAUUCUAAUAUUUUCUUCACUUAACCCAAGUGAAUCAAUCAUCUUUAUAUUUUACUUUGGAAACUGCUGCAGUAGGCUAGUGGGUCUUCAUUUUCUGUAUCACUGUGAGAACUAGAUAAAAGAUGAUAGAUACAGACCAUCAUCUUUCCAAAAAUGUGCAUAUGACCUUAUACCCUAGACUUACCUGUAUUUCCAGAGGGCUCCCUGGAUUCUGUUCCUAGGCCACUCUUGUUAGGUAGCCUAAUCCUCAAACUGAGAACUUAUUAGAAGAGAGGAAAAAAUAGUAAAUAAUGUUUGAAAUGAGAAGUGUACAACCAGGAGAAAUCAGUGACUUUUGGUUUAGAUGAAACCACUUUUGAUUUUUGAGGAAUAAAGGGAAUUAGUUUAUUUGGUACUAUUCUGUAGAAUAAUUCAUGGGGCUUCACAUAUAGGCAACUAAAGUUUCUUUUCAGCCAAUAUUUAACAUAUCUCUCGACCUAUUUUUCUCUAGUUUUUGGUAAAUGUGUAUGCUAGAGGUAUCCCAAUUUUUUUUUUUCUAAUUUAAGUACUUCUUUUCACUUCUCCUCUAUGUGAAAUAGAAUCACUGUUGGACCUUGCAUUGAAAACCUUGAUACUAACAACACUCCUUUUAUUAUUACUUUCACAGGUGAUAUUUUAAAUAACACAUUUAUUUUGAGUUCUGCCUCUGGCAGAGUUGCAAAGUCUAUCAAAAAGUUAUCCUGUGUCUCAGAAGCUUGUUGGUGCUGCCACAUAAAUAUUGUAACAAGUGUUAAAUAAAAACCUUUUUAAAAUUUAAAA